ACAAAAGGGGAGUAAGAAGUGAUCCCAGGAUGUCACUGGAUUGGAAAAUCAAAAGGGAGUCAGGAGAGAUGAACGUGCGGCCUGGAACCGAACCACAGACCACAAGACAAGUAACUGCUUGAGCCUCAAACACAAGGUAACGAGCAAAGUAGACUCACAACAAGUGAACACUCACCUCAUCACAUUCAUACACUACAAAGCCACGACACAUCAAUGCCUGAACAAGAGAGUGGCACUGCGUACGGCCGAGUCGAAAACGAGCGAUCUGCUCCCGUCGCCACCGGUAUGACUCACACUGUCUUCACCUGAAAAUGAAACAAAACCUCGUGUUCCUCAUUAGCGAAGCGGCAAAACUGUGAGACAGCCGUACGACGAGCACGCGCUGCUUCCUUGUAAAGCGCUGAACUGAUGUCUCCUUAAAACGAAUGUUGCAGACUCUGCAAGAUGUCCUCUCUGUGGUUACAGCGACAUGAAUCACUCAAAUCAAACCAGCACACCAUCAGCAAGGAAAGAGAGACCGGCCUCUCGGAUAACCUAACCUAAACUUGCCACACACUGAUGCAUGAACCCAGGCAUCCACCACGACAGGGUCCUUCUCGUCACAACGAAACCAGAAAACGGCGUGUCAUAACAAACCACAACAAUACCUGAACGUGUCACGUCACAAAAACCUGUGAACUGAGAAAACGCUGCAGGUAAAUGAGAGGAAUUCUGGCAUUUCUCGUAAGGAAUCAAGGAAACCAAUAAAGCAAGAUCAGGGAAAUUGAUAAAAAGAAAAAUGGGUUGUAUAAAUUUUAGGGGUCCAUACCUUUAAUUGAUGAAGCAAUUAAAAAGAAAUUUACAGUA